CAGCAGCCGCGGGAAUACGGGGGGGGCAAGUGUUAUUCGGAAUGACUGGGCGUAAAGGGCACGUAGGCGGUGAAAAGGGUGGAAAGUGAAAGUCGCCAAAACACUGGCGGGGUGCUUUCUUGACCAUUUCACCUGAGUGAGAUAGGGGAGAGUGGAAUUUCGUGUGGAGGGAUCAAAUCCUAAGAUAUACGAAGGAACGCCAACCGCGAAGGCAGCUCUCUGGGUCCCCACUGACGCUGGGGUGCGAAAGCAUGGGGAGCAAACAGGAUCAGAUACCCCAGUAGUCCCUGUCUCUUAUACA
rnacentral:rRNA from 1 species